rnacentral:rRNA from 1 species
AGAACGAACGCUGGCGGCAGGCUUAACACAUGCAAGUCGAACGCGUGUAGCAAUACACGAGUGGCGCACGGGUGAGUAACGCGUGGAUAUCUGCCUUUUGGUUCGGAAUAACCCCGGGAAACUGGGGCUAAUACCGGAUGGUUCCUACGGGAUAAAGAUUUAUCGCCAAAAGAUGAGUCCGCGUCCGAUUAGCUAGUUGGUGGGGUAAUGGCCUACCAAGGCGACGAUCGGUAGCUGGUCUGAGAGGACGAUCAGCCACACUGGGACUGAGACACGGCCCAGACUCCUACGGGAGGCAGCAGUGGGGAAUAUUGGACAAUGGGGGCAACCCUGAUCCAGCCAUGCCGCGUGAGUGAUGAAGGCCUUCGGGUUGUAAAGCUCUUUUGGCGGGGACGAUGAUGACGGUACCCGCAGAAUAAGCCCGGCUAACUUCGUGCCAGCAGCCGC